rnacentral:misc_RNA from 1 species
GAACGCACCUUGCACCCUUUGGCAUUCCGAAGGGUAUGCUCGUUUGAGUGUCAUUGUACUCUCACACUCUCCAAUCCUCUGGAUCCGGGGAGUGGUGGACUUGGGCGUCUGCUGCUUGACCGUGGCUCGCUUUAAAUGGAUUAGUGCAACUCUUGGUUGGACAUAGUACGGCGUGAUAAGUGUCUUCGCCGGCACCUCGGAAGAGGGUGACUGAUUGAGAGCUCUGUGCUUCAAACUGUCUUCGGACAACCUCUGACAACUUGACCUCAAAUCGAGUAGGACUACCCGCUGAACUUA